AGGGAUCUGAAAUUUCAGUGUGAGGGACGGCAGGAGAGAAGGGAGAAAGAAGAAGAAAAAGAGAAAAGAAGAAAAUUAGAAGAAAAAUAGAAAUGAGUUGGAGGAAAUAAGUUUAAAGAUAAUCAUGAUAUUCUACCAGCGGGACAUUAGUGGGAUUACCUUCGGUAUCGGCUUUUGAGUGCUAUUUGCUUUCGAGUCAGCACCAGAGAUUGCUACCAGCAAAAUGAUUGCUGUUGUUGUUGGGACCAGAUUGUGCAGGCACCGCUCCUCAUCUUAUGCCUCUGUUACGGACAUGACAAACGUAGGUGAGCCACAAAUGCCUUUCCCUUAAUAGAAGAAUGUAGUAGCAGUGCAAAACCCUAUCUCACUGCCAUCUAAACCAGCCGUUGGCAAAUUCAACAGCAUUGAAGCAUCUAGGAGCUUUGAUGUCGAAGGAAGAGGACUUGGCCCUGCUACUUGUGGUUUCGACAAUGACAACCCAAAUGACCUGAAACAAAAAUAAAGGUAAAACCUUGGAUCAUGAAGUGAAAAGCCCCACGACUCAAAAUCUCUUCUUUUGUUUGAAACUUAAGGACUCCCUGCUUUUGCUUUUCUUUUCCUCUUCGGCUUUGCAACUUGUGGUUCGAUUUGAGGUUUCGGUUCUUGAGAAUGCGUCGCGAAAGAGAUAAUAACAUGGAUCUUAUGGCCAACAGAUAAACAAGGGGUCAUGGAGGGGAUGAUGGAAGAAUGGGCAAUGAUUUGGUCCCAAAACGGAAUUUGCAUUUUGAAUGGAGAAUUAGAGCCCCAAUGAUGAUUGUUCUUGAUGAUGUGCGUAUAGUAGCAUUUUUGUUAAUUUGAUGUAUCCGGAUUUUAGUUAAAUAAAAUAUAAUGACAAACUUAUAAUACUUUAAUUUUUUUAUUAA